UACGUAGGGGGCAAGCGUUGUCCGGAUUUAUUGGGCGUAAAGAGCGUGUAGGCGGCUAGAUAGGUCCGUUGUGAAAACUCGAGGCUCAACCUCGAGACGUCGAUGGAAACCAUCUGGCUAGAGUCCGGAAGAGGAGAGUGGAAUUCCUGGUGUAGCGGUGAAAUGCGCAGAUAUCGGGAAGAACACCCGUGGCGAAGGCGGCUCUCUGGUACGUGACUGACGCUGAGACGCGAAAGCGUGGGGAGCGAACAGG
rnacentral:rRNA from 1 species